rnacentral:rRNA from 1 species
AGUCCUACGGGACGCAGCAGUGGGGAAUAUUGCACAAUGGGGGAAACCCUGAUGCAGCAACGCCGCGUGAGUGAAGAAGGUUUUCGGAUUGUAAAGCUCUGUUAGCAGGGAAGAGGAAGGACGGUACCUGCAGAGGAAGCCACGGCUAACUACGUGCCAGCAGCCGCGGUGAUACGUAGGUGGCAAGCGUUGUUCGGAAUAACUGGGCGUAAAGGAGGCGUAGGCGGUUAAACAAGUUAUAUGUUAAAAAUAUAGGCUUAACCUGUAGAAAGCAUAAAAAAAUGUUUAACAAGAGGGCAGGAGAG